AUAUAUAUAUUUAUUUAAUUUUAAUUUAAACUGUUUUUUUUUUUGGGCCAAGGUGUGGAUCCACCACCCUUAGGCGGGCCUAGCGUGAGUUGAAAGCAUGUAUUGUAGUUGUUAGUUGUUACAAAUUUAAAGCAAUAGCCCUUCAUGGCCUACCCUAUCCCCUCUUGUUUAAUAAAUACAUUUUGAAACAACCAUGGACAGACACAGGUCUUAGACAAACCGUACCCUUCUAAUUUUCAUACCAUCACUUAUAUCUAUCCACUCAUCCCUUCUUAUCCUUAAUAUAUAAUCACACGUUUUUUAUUCUUAGGUAGGUUACAACUUCCAAUUUAAAUACUACACUAUUAGAGGUGACCACACAUAUUCAUAUUCAUAGUCAUAUCAUAUUGAGACUUAUAUAUUACAUACAAAUAUAUGUUUGAUUUAAAAUACAAAUAUCAUCUGAUUAUAAACAGAUUAACACGACACAACUCGUAUAAUAUAAAUAUAUUUUAUUUAAAUAUGUCAACUUAUUAAUAUAUUAAUAAUAUACGGGUUAGCUUAUAAUCCAUUUAUUAAAAGGGUCAGAUGGGUCAUGCCCAAAAAAGAGAGCCGAACUCAUUUAAGGCUGAACUAGGCCCAACAUUGGUAGAGCUGGCCUGAUAAAAAUGGGCCUAACCAACCGGUCUAUUAUUGCAUAAAAAAAGUAAAAGAUGGAAACUUGUCAAAUUUUGUCAAAAGUCAUCAAAUUUAAUAUUUAAUUGUGAUGAAGUAAAGUUGUUAGAUUUGAAAGGAAAAAAAAAAUGCUUUAUAGAGGCAUUACUGGUUUAUUUAAACAAAGUGGAGCUUUUUAAUCUUUAAAUCAACUUUUAAUCACAACACCCGUGGAAUGGACUAUGAGUCA